rnacentral:piRNA from 1 species
UAACAUCAAGAGAACUGUCAGGAGCCC